rnacentral:RNase_P_RNA from 1 species
CAAGCUGGUUGGGAGAUCGCUCUUUACAUUUGUAAGGGGAGGAAAGUCCGAACUCCGGUCCUGUAGCAAUAUGGGAUAGGGCAAGAUGGCCGUUAACAACGGCCCCGGGUGACCGGGGGAAAGUGCCACAGAAAAUAUACCGCCUCGAUUUUAUCGGGGUAAGGGUGAAAAGGCGUCCCGAUUUAUCGGGACCCCGAUUUAGACACAGUCUUGAUCGGGGAGGUAAGAGCUCACCGCGCCAAUGGUGACAUUGGUGGCAUGGUAAACCCCAUCUGGAGCAAGACCGAAUAGGAAACGGUAUGGUGGCCCGCCAAUUAUACGUUUCGGGUAGGUCGCGUAUGAUUCUCGUGGUAACAUGAGAACAAGAUAAAUGAUCUCUGCUUUUUAUAAAGUACAGAAAUCGGCUUACAUGCCAGCUUGAUAC